rfam:Biomphalaria glabrata isolate BB02 unplaced genomic scaffold LGTN_random_Scaffold1600, whole genome shotgun sequence.
UAAAUGGUUUCAAUAGAAACCACAGCCUUUUUUUAGUCACGUGGUGU